rnacentral:piRNA from 1 species
UGAGUUUAAAGCUCUAUUUUGGACAGUGU